GUAAUAUUGUUUCUAAGAAAAUGGGUAAGAAAAUAGUUGCCGAGAGUUUGAAAAAGAAGUAAAGUAUUGGUAUUUUUUCAUCUAAAAAUAUUAUAGAGAGAAAAUCGACAAAGAAAAGAGAUAUUCUUUCAUCUUGUUCAAUUAAAAAAAAUAAAAAAUUUGAAAGCAGUCAAAUGUCUCAGUAAAGGUAUUUUUUUGAAAGAAAAAUUAUAUUAUUUUUUUAUUUUAGUUUUUGCUUAUAUAUUUCGGUUUCAGUUAGGUAUAUCUUUAGUACUUUUUAUAUUUGUUGUGUUUUUGACAAAUUUGUUGUUUGUUUAAUAGUAAUUUUUAUAUUUUUGUUCCUUCUCUCUUAUAUGCAUUUUAUAUGUUUGAUGAAAUACCUCAACCAUAUUAAAUUUAUAUUUUUAAUCUGUUUUUGUUUUCGGACUUAUUUAUUUUUAUUUAGUUUUUAUAUGAGUGUUCUAUUUUAGUUUUUAGUUAUUAUAUUAUUUAUAUGUUUUUGUUAUAUGUUUAGUUUUUGUGUUUGCUUUAUUUCAAAUAAAAUUGUUUAUUAUUCUUUUGUGCAAUAACAACACUAUAAUUGUCCUUUUUCGUGUUAGUAUGAUUAUUAGGAUUGUUUAUUAUAUUUUUUCUUUAUUUAUGAUUUUAUUUUUAUAGUUGAUGGAAAAUAAAGUUGUACACAAGCCCUUGUUGAUAUUUCUCUGUUACUUUUUUAGUGUUUGUUUAGUAUAUUUUUUUUAUAUUUUUGUUAUAUUUUAAGUAUAUGUUUUAUUUGUUUAAUUUUACUAUUAGAAUGAUUUCUAUUUAUUUUAUUUUUUCUGUAUUUUUAUUUUGCAGUUUUUGAUUGAACCUGAAAAUCAUUUUUGUAUAAAAAUAGGCAGUCAUAUUGGUGAAGAAGUUAUUGGUCAACUAAAAUCUAAGCUUUUAGAAAAGCAAUUAGAGUUGUUUGGUAAUUCUUGUUUUGGUCAUUUUCUUCAAAUGCCGGAGUUUAAGUUUCAACCACAACUUGUUCACUAUUCGUUAUUAAGAGAGGUGUAUUAAGAAGUUAAUAAUGGGUUGUGGAUUUGUAUCAAAUGUGUUAAAUUGAAGAGUUUGAAAUCAUUAUUGGUUUGAAUUGUAUUGAUGAGUGUAAUAAGCUUAGCCUUUUUAGAGGUUAGAAUGCUAUUAUAGAGAAAUAUUUUGCUAGUGUUAAGAAAAUUAAUAAACAAUCAGUUAAAGAGUAUCUUCUGUAAAAAAAGAUGGGAUUGUGAUGAAGAUACGGUAAAAAUUAUUGUUUUAUACUUUGUUACUAUAUUUCUAUUAACUUCUCCUAAGGAUAAGUUGAUUCAUAAGUCUCUUUUUGAUAUAAUUGAUAGUGGAAAGGUGAAUGAUUAUCCAUGGGGUAGAGAAGUGUUUGAUGUCACUAUUGAUUCUCUCAAGAAUAAGGUUCUUGCUAAAGUUAUUACAAAAGACUAUAGUUUCUAGAAGAGAACUACAUGAAAAGAUCAACCCCUUCUUUCUAUUUUUAUUACAGAAAACCAAGGUACCGCCCUAAUUAAACAAUGUGAGGUACCGACGCCGGACGGGCAGACCUAGAGCGAACUACUCAUUGCUGUGUUGCCCCAAACCUAGGAAGGGCAUUUGGUUAGGAACAUUAUUUUGAGAAAGAAAAAGCGUGGUUGACAAGCCACUUCGAAAAGGUGACGAGACUGGAGUGCUUUCAUCAAAUAUGCAUGUGGGCUAAGCCAUUCCCAUCUCAAGUGGUGGCCCGAUUCGUCCCGGCCUGGUUGGGAAGAGAUUCACAUAGAGACUACUGUUAGCUGGGAAGGGAUGUAGUUAAGGAAAGGGGAACCGAGCCAGGAAGAAAAGGCAUUCUUGAUUGAUGGUUAUGGGCCUUUUUUCUAGUGGCUUCCUCACCAUGACUUUCAGCAUUGGCUCUGACUUCUCCAAAUAAAGGAAAUAAGGUAUUUAGCCCUACAUAUGGAAAUUUCAAUCUGUGAGAAUCAUCCUAGAUACAUGGGGCUAUUUCGUCAUAUGAUGAAAUGGGUCGAUCAGAAGGGCUUUCUACAACUAUAAAAAUCACGAAAUCUGGAACCAAAAUGGUGGAAAUUCUUGGCUCCCACUAGUAGGGCUAAAUAACUGGACCAUUGAGUAACUGCUCUUUAAGCCUACUGAAGGACUAGUCUGUGGGGCUAGACCAUUAUUCCACGGGGAUUCUUACUCCACUGCAGACCUUAGCGUCCUCCUAGCCCAUUACUCGUACAAAACUAUGGCAGCCAAGAGCGUUGCUUAUUCCCCUUCAACUUUAGAUGCUUUCUAUAUUACUCGAUGCGAAGAAUACCCCUAGUUCCAGUUAGUUUAUAAUACCCACUCUCGCUUACUUGUCUGCUGGCUAAUAGCUUUCCUUAUUGGGAUUUCUUUCCUAUUGCUUGUCUUCUUGGUUAAGAAAGCUUUCACACGAAAGUUUCAAACACAGAAGCAGAGGUAAGGACCUACUAUCUACUUACCCGCGAAAGGUAAAGUAAAAAAGGAAGAAUGCGCGACUGGCUAUUGAGAAUAUGAAGAUAAAAGAAAGACAUUCUUUGCCCUUCUUUCUUCACUCUCGUUCUAGAAGGCAUUCCAUUAAGCAGCAUGGGAUGAAGAAUUAUGGUGCAAGACAAUUUUUGACAUAAGGCAUUUCACUGCAAAUAGCAUAUAUAAUAUAAUAAAGGAUGGAGAGUGUUAGUUAGUCUUUUUAGUUAGCUUUGCCACCCGAUUCUAGAAAGCCCAUCUCUUGCAAGAGACGAGUAGGGGGGAAAGAAAAUAAGACUUCCUUAUUGUUAUUUGUUAUACCAGGAUUCUUAACAGCAGAUAUAGCAGGGGAAGUUAGCAGGGGAAAGGCAAACUUCCUAUUUCUUUUUCAGUAAUAUAAUACCUAAAGCAUAUCAAUAGAUGAGCGUUGGAUUAUCAGGACAAAGAGAGUAAACUUCUUUCUAAAUCCUGUCUGUUUAGCUAGUACCGUAGCAAACUAGCCAUAGUGAUAAGAGCUUUUUCGAUGAGUAGGUCCAGUUUAAUGCAAUGAAAGCACCGAGAUAGGGUCUAGAUUGAGAUUAAGCUCAAACCAAGGUUUGAUUUUAACUAUGAAAGAAUGAGGGGACGAACCGCUCUUCACUUUAGACCUUUGAAUUGAAUGUCGAGUCGAUAAGAGAGAAGUUUGUUAUUCAUCUCUCAAGGCAACUACUAACUUUCGGUCUUCAUUCUUGAAUGGUAGCUCGUUCAGUCACUUCUGAGGAUCUUGAGAACAUCGGCUCUAACAAUUCUGUAUGUUAUCAGAAAGCUUGUUAUUUUUACAAGUGGUGAUGUUCCUCCUAUUUUGAAUUGGAGUUCAUUUUAAAUUCCUUCUUUCAAGUUUCUUAAAAAGAGUAUAUUUGGUGAAGUUGCUAGAAAUGUAUUUUUUUAUUUUUUUCUUAUAUUUUAUAUUAUUAUUCUUUAUUGAUUUGGAUUUUUAUUUUAUUUUUUGAUAGUUAAAAUUAAAAAAUAUUUCUCCUAUUGCUAAGGAAAGACAAGCUGGAUUUGGAUAGUUUUUUUAAGAAAGGAAAAGAUAUUUGUAUUGAUGCUGGUGAUGAUGAUUUUGAGUCUCCUCUACCUCGUCCUAAAGAUUUUGCAGCUUCCAUCUCAAAGCAACCUAGCAAUAUUGGGUUUGAUUUUGAUGGCUCUAUUGUUAAUAUGAGAAAGCAACUGAAAUUAGUGUUUUCUAAGCAGAAGAAACUAAUUGUUGAGAUUUCUAGAUUGAAGAUUUUCUUGAAAGAGAAGUUCUCUGAGGUUUUUGAAGUCCUAUCUUCUCUUUAGAUAAAGUUUCAAAGUGUGAUUUGGAGAUAAAGAUUCUAAGAUAUAUGUCAUAUACUUAAAAUAUACUUAUUAUAUGCUUAAUAUAAUUUUUGUAUAUUUAAUGUAUUUCUUUUACUGUUUGUAUAGUUUUGCUAUAAGAUUGUUGAUGAUAAGGUAGAUAAUUUAUAAGUUGAUGAUGAUGUCUUUGAAAAGGAAGCAAGUCAGGAGAAGGUUGAAUAUGAAAUUAGUAAAGAUAAUAAGGUUAUUGAUGUGGAUGUUAAUGAUGGUAACGAAGAGGACAAUGAUGAUGAUGAUGAUGGAGAUGAUAAAGAGAAUUGUAAAAAAGAUUAUGAUCAUAAUGAAAGUCUUGAUGAAGAUCAUAAUAACGUAAGUGAUUCUUCUGAUGGUGGAAAUGGUAAAGAUGUUCAAGAAGGCAGUGAUAAUGGUGAUAAAAGAAAUAUUGAUGAUAAAAAUAUUGACGAUGUUGAUGAUGAUGGAGUUGAAAAGAGUUGGAUUGAUGAUCAAAAUAAUGAUGAUGAUGGUGAUGAUGAUGAGAAGGUAUUUUAAUUUUAUUGCCUUUUAAAUAUUUAUUUUAGUUUUACUCUUUUUUAAUAUUUUAUAUAGUUAUUUAUUUUAUAUUCGUUUUAGAGAGAUGAUAACGUUGCUGUUUUUGAAAAGUUCAAUAAGGAUGAAGUAGUAGGUCAAGCUACUUCUUUAUUUUUUUUGACCAUUUGGAUCCAAAUUUAAUUUUUGAGAUUGAGAGUGCUAUUAAAUUAGCUACUGAAUUUGACUCAAUUGAAGUAUGUUGUAUUUUUAUUUAUUUUAUAUUUUUCGUAUCUGUUUAGUAUAUGCCUUCUAUAUUUUAAUUUUUUUUAGUUUACAGUCUUUGAAAAAUCAAUCGAAACCAACUGUUGUAUAACAAGACAUUGAAGAUUUUGUGAUCCCUAAUAUUCAAAAAAGAAAGAUUAAGCCUGGUUGUAUUUUGGAAUCUCCUUUUUUAAAUGAUUUUGGAUCUUCAGAAGAUAUAUCAAAGGGAAUUAAAGAUGUUACUUUGGAUGACAACAUUUGUGUAUUGUGAAAGUUUGAAGAUCAAUAGAUUUUUGAUUUAUGGUUUGAGCAGGGGAUGGAGAAAAGAAACAAGUAAUAUAUAUUUUUUUAUUUUUUUAUUCUUUUAUAUUGUACUUAUUUUUAUUUGUUUGUGAUUAAAUAGAAAAAUAUUAUAUUAAAAAAAAUAAUGUGAUAUCUUCUCCUUUUGCUCUUAGUGUUGAUCUUAUUUUGGAGAAGACGUGGUUUCAUUCUCUGCAAUAGGAUGGAUAGUUCCUUUCCUCAUCUGUAAGUUGUUUUUAAUAUUUUGUAUAUGUUGUUUAUAUAUUGAGUUGCUUAUAAGUAUCUUUUCUUUUCACAA